GAUGAACGCUGGCGGCGUGCCUAAUACAUGCAAGUCGAGCGAACAGACGAGGAGCUUGCUUCUCUGACGUUAGCGGCGGACGGGUGAGUAACACGUGGAUAACCUACCUAUAAGACUGGGAUAACUUCGGGAAACCGUAGCUAAUACCGGAUAAUAUUUUGAACCGCAUGGUUCAAUAGUGAAAGACGGUUUUGCUGUCACUUAUAGAUGGAUCCGCGCUGCAUUAGCUAGUUGGUAAGGUAACGGCUUACCAAGGCAACGAUGCAUAGCCGACCUGAGAGGGUGAUCGGCCACACUGGAACUGAGACACGGUCCAGACUCCUACGGGAGGCAGCAGUAGGGAAUCUUCCGCAAUGGGCGAAAGCCUGACGGAGCAACGCCGCGUGAGUGAUGAAGGUCUUCGGAUCGUAAAACUCUGUUAUUAGGGAAGAACAAAUGUGUAAGUAACUAUGCACGUCUUGACGGUACCUAAUCAGAAAGCCACGGCUAACUACGUG
rnacentral:rRNA from 1 species